rnacentral:tRNA from 1 species
GGUCUUAUAGUCACGUAUGAUUUUAAAUUGCAAAUUUAAAGGUAGAGGAUUCCUCUUAAGGCUU